UGAAUGAGAGUUCCUGUUGCUUCACAUCCUUGCCAGCAUUUGGUGUUGUCACCGUUCUGGAUCUUAACUAUUCUAAUAGACCUUUGAUAAACCUUUCCCAGCACAGCAAACCCAUGGUUAACGCCACAGCAGUGAGGAAGCUACGGGAGCAGAACUGCAAUUAACCUUCAUGGGCAAAACAAAACAUAAAAAACCACGAGAAGCUGCACUUUGAAUUUAGAGGCUGCUCUGAAGGUCGAACCCUCAAGAGAAUCAAGGCAAUGUUGUAUGUGGGGUAUGGUUAAAACCUGGGCCAAGGCCAAGAAAUUCUGACGCAGCGAAUCUGAGUGUCUGCC